rnacentral:lncRNA from 1 species
CAUACAUUUAUUUAAUUCCAAUAUAGACGUUCGUCUACCUCCCUAAAUUAUCAAUAAACGUGUUUAUCAUGAGGCUAUGUUUUCUAGUCCCACCAUGCGCAGUUAUUUUUUAAUUCUCCAUUAAUUUUGCCACAGUUAGGUGGGAUAUCAAACCUAAAAGGCAUAAGGUUGAGCACAAAUUGGUUCAACUAGAUGAGCAAUCUAACAAGGACACAAUCGAGCCAAACUGAGUCAAGGGGCUCAAGCUUGACUUGAUUGAAAAUACUC